AUCAACCCAAUUACCCAUCCCCAUUACCUCCAUUUAUCUUAAGUAUCUACCCUAAGAAUCAUCUAUCCUUUAUUCCUAAGGAUUGACCUAUGGUAUAGGCACGAAAUCACAUCGUUGCCAAGGUCCUCAAAUUACAACCUGUAAACACUUAGUUCAACAAACUUAACGAACACCUAGGUCUAACCCUCCUAGUGAACGCUUAAUUCAAAACAUCUGGUGAAUACUUAGUUCUAAAACACUUAGUGAACACACUUAGUUCAACUACACCAAGUGAACACAUUUAGUUCAAAAACACUUAAUGAACACAUUGAGUUCAAACACUAAGUGAGCACAUAGAGUUCAAAAAUACCUAAUGAACAUAUUGAGUUCAAACACCAAGUGAACACAUAGAGUUCAAAAUACCUAAUGAACACAUUGAGUUCUAAAAUACUUAAUGAACACAUAUAGUUCAAAAUACCUAAUGAACACAUUGAGUUCAAGGACACCAAGUGAGCACAUAUAGUUCAAAAUACCUAAUGAACACAUUUCGUUCAAAACACCUAGUGAACACAUAGAGUUCAAAAAUACCUGAUGAACACGUUGAGUUCAAAACACCUAGUGAACACAUAGAGUUCAAAAAUACCUAAUGAACACAUUGAGUUCAAAACACCUACAGGUUGCAAACUUGUUAACUUUUCAUUGGAUUGUCUAGAACAGUAUAUGGUCACCAUCUCUAUUCCACUAGUUGACAUGAACAUCAAUAUCAUCCAAACUUCUUAUCAUUUUGUCUUAUAUCAACUAUUUCAUCUACCCAGGUUCUACCCAACAUAUUUGUAGAUAUAAAUUACAUAUACAGUUUUAAUCAUUUAAAAACUUGUAUGAAACAAUCAUUCAGCAUCUGUCUCAAGUAAACAAACAAUAUAUAAGCACAUAGCACGUAUUUCAUAGCAAAUACUUCAUAUCUAUGUGUAAGGUGAAAGUAACUACACACUCACACAAACAUAUACNACAUUCAAACAAUACUUGUAUUAAAAUCGUGUUUAUGAAAGGGACUAUACACUCACUUGAUCAGAAGAUGAACGGGUAGCACUACGGCUUGUAGAAGUAGUAUUCUUCGGUGAAACCGGGAUCAAUUCACACAUCGGGUUUCUCGCGAGCAGAGCUUUGGCUCGGAAACUCUUUUUCUUCUUGGGAUCUUCGGGCUUCGGGACUUUCUUUGGGUCUCGGGGUUGAUACUAGGGCUUCGGGAUAUUUCUUGCACGUAAAUCGAGGCAAAACGGGAGAGAGAGAGGAGAGAAAAUAGCAACCCUAAACGGCUGGCCCUUCAAAUCUAUUUAUAGGGCAAAAUUGGCCCUUUCCACGUCGUGGGCUUGGUCGUCACUGCAUGCAUCAUUGCAAGUUGCAUCUGGGGACUCCCGGAGGUGUCAGAAGACUUGCCACGUCGUGGCACUGCUUGCCACGUUGUGGCAUCUGACAGUUUUGGGGUUUCGCGCCCUGAACUUCAGAAAUUCAUAAUUUUUGCAUACGAACUCCGUUUUCGACGUUCUUUAUAUCAACGUGAAGGUGAGAUUAUGCUCUACAAAUCUCGUUUAGACUACAUUGGCUAAUUUUGAAUUUAUUUUUAAUAUAUUAUAACUAUGUUACUUUUAUAUUAUUUUUAGUAGGCCGGGACAGGAAAACUCCGUUAUAAACUAAUAACUCCUUCGUCUGACGUCCGUCUUUCCAUCGUUGCACUACUAUCGAUGAGAUCUUCAAUUCUCAUUUAGAUUGUUUUGGAUAAAUAUCGCUCUAAGGUAAAUUCACUAUUUACGUCGCGCUGUGUCGUGCCGGUUCUGUCGCGAAACUUCGACAGGUCAUAACUUCUUCGUUAUAACUCAGAUUUCGACGUUCUUUAUAUAUUAGAAAACCUCGUAACAUAAACUAAAUCUUAGUUAAGAUUACUCCUUCUAAAUAAUUUUUCCCAAAAAAAAGUCAUUUUUAACGCUCACUGUCCAUAAAUUGACUAGCUCAGAUCUACGGGCGUUACAAUUAUCUCCCCCUUAGGAUGAUUACGUCCUGGAAUCAUCAAUGAAAUAAGACUUGUAUAAUGAUUCCAUACAUUAUCUUUCCAUCGUAAGUAACAACCAUGAUGCUCAAUCUUGCAUCUGUUCUUCGUACUAUGUUGGACUUCUACUCAUGACCUUCGAGUUACCAAAUUAAUCCUUAUUGAGAACUCCUUCUUCUUCUUAGGAUAAAUUCUUUCAUUUAUCUAUUGUAACAGACCGAUGUGUCGUGUUCUAACGACCUCUCAUCAUAGUCGGACUCAAUUUGAUAUGACCACUAGGGUCGGAAUAACAACCAUCUUACUAGUUAUUACCGAAACAAUGGUAAUGACAUACUUGAAUAAAACGAGACCAAUUACAAGCUUCUUGGUAACCUUGUGACUUUCCCUGAUCCAAGCGUGAGUCCUGUGCUUCCAGUAGUAUAGAUCUCUACUACUAUUCACACCUAUUCAUACUCGUCCCAAGUAUUGUCUCGCAGUCCCCAAGUCCUAAAAUCACAAAACAAUUUAACACAUACGAAUGUGUCCAAUUAAUCAUAUAAAUUUUCCUAGACUCUACUAGGACUUCUUCCAUGUGUAUCUUCACUCAUCAAUUCUACUUCAACUCGGUGAGUGAUGGAAAUUCCAGACGACGGGACAACUUCAAGAAUUACACCAAUUGUUCCAUUAUCCAGCCAAUCGAAGGUGUACUUCAGACGUAUCGUACUCCUCUAAACGUUCCGUUAUUUUAUUAGACAUAUUCUAAAGGAAAGAUACCACUCUUAUGAUAUCUUCCGAUAGGUGUCAUUCACUAUCAUAAGCCUUUCAUUUCCUCCAUUUGCUCAAUUCUCUACGAGUCUUCACCAUAACGUUUUGUACACCCAAGCAUACGUUGGUGUACCGGGCGAGAAUUUAAGAUAAGAAAGCUUUAUUUAAGAUAGACGUAUACAUCUCCUUUUCACUCCAAAACGUUUACAUGCUAGUUCUAAUACCGUAGUCGUACGCUUAGAAUCCUACACACAUAAGGUUUCCAGAUCCGGUCGGCAACAGACCAUAGAUCCGAACAAAUAAUAUCAUAUAUGGCAACAUAUAACAUUUAGCACAUAAAAGCAUAUUAGGCAUCCUUCCUAAUAUAAACUAGUGUUUGUGUCAAUUUAGGUGUACUACCUAACAUAUUUUAGACACACUCCUCACGAUCAUUACAUAGCAUUCUAAGUUUAAGUCUAGAAAAUCCUACAAAUUUCUAGUUCGCUUAAACUAAUGCUCUGAUACCAACUAAGACAUCCCCCAAUUUCACAGCCAGAAAAGACCGUUUUGUUUAUGCUUUGUUUUAUAAAUCAGAGUAAUCACUUAAAGAAAACGGUUGCGGAAUUUGUUCCCAAAACAAGAUAUGAUAAAAACUUAUCAAAACAUUUCUCAAAGAGAAUGUAUUUCCAUUAAAUAAUAAAACCUCAGGAUGUCAUGUUCCGAUACAGACACAUAAGCAUAAACAGAACAUACAUUCAUUUACUCUAGUGAUAUACAUCUCCUUUAAUCUCUCAGUGCAAAGCAGCUUCGUAUCGAUACNUUAUAUCAUAUAUAUAUAUAUAUAUAUAUAUAUUCGAUCAUCAAACAAUCAACCCAAUUACCCAUCCCCAUUACCUCCAUUUAUCUUAAGGAUCUACCCUAACAAUCAUCUAUCAUUUAUUCCUAAGGAUUCACCUAUGGUAUAGGCACGAAGUCACAUCGUUGCCAAGGUCCUCAAAUUACAAACGGUAAACACUUAGUUCAACAAAUUUAACGAACACCUAGGUCUAACCCUCCUAGUGAACGCUUAAUUCAAAACAUCUGGUGAAUACUUAGUUCUAAAACACUUAGUGAACACACUUAGUUCAACUACACCAAGUGAACACAUCUAGUUCAAAAACACUUAAUGAACACAUUGAGUUCAAACACCAAGUGAGCACAUAGAGUUCAAAAAUACCUAAUGAACACAUUGAGUUCAAACACCAAGUGAACACAUAGAAUUCAAAAUACCUAAUGAACACAUUGAGUUCUAAAAUACUUAAUGAACACAUAUAGUUCAAAAUACCUAAUGAACACAUGGAGUUCAAAAACACCUAGUGAACACAUAGAGUUCAAAAAUACCUGAUGAACACGUUAAUUUCAAAACACCUAGUGAACACAUAGAGUUCAAAAAUACCUAAUGAACACAUUGAGUUCAAAACACCUACAGGUUGCAAACCUGUUAACUUUUCAUUGGAUUGUCUA
rnacentral:lncRNA from 1 species